GGGCUCACACAAGCGGUGGAGCAUGUGGUUUAAUUCGAUGAUACGCGAGGAACCUUACCAGGACUUAAAUGUAAGUUGCAUGAUUCAGAAAUGAAUCUUUCUUCGGACUACUUACAAGGUGCUGCAUGGUUGUCGUCAGCUCGUGCCGUGAGGUGUCAGGUUAAGUCCUAUAACGAGCGCAACCCCUAUCGUUAGUUGCCAUCAAGUAAAGUUGGGAACUCUAGCGAAACUGCCGGUGCAAACCGUGAGGAAGGUGGGGAUGACGUCAAAUCAUCACGGCCCUUACGUUCUGGGCUACACACGUGCUACAAUGGCCGGUACAGAAAGCAGCCACUAUGCGAAUAGGAGCUAAUCUAUAAACUCGUUCUAAGUUCGGAUUGCAGGCUGCAACUCGCCUGCAUGAAGGUGGAAUCGCUAGUAA
rnacentral:rRNA from 1 species